UCUCCGUUGGUGAACCAGCGGAGGGAUCAUUACAGAGUUGCAAAACUCCCAAAACUUUGUGAAGGUUACCUCUACCGGUGCCUAGGCGGGCGGCCCGGGCUCCGCGCCCCGCGCCCCCUCGCUCCCCGCGGGCGCCCGCCGGAGGACAAGCAAACCAAGGAUUUGCAUGGUCUAUCUGCGUCGACUGUACUGAACAAGGCAAAACAAACCACAACGGAAAUCUUGGGUCUCGCAUCGAUGAAGAAAGCAGCAGAUCGGAAGAGAAAAGGUCCGAACUGC
rnacentral:misc_RNA from 1 species